rnacentral:rRNA from 1 species
UACGUAGGGGGCUAGCGUUGUCCGGAUUGACUGGGCGUAAAGCGUGCGUAGGCGGUUCAGCAAGUUGAGAGUGUAAUACCUAGGGCUUAACUCAGGUGCUGCUCUCAAAACUGCUGGGCUUGAGUGCAGGAGGGGUAAAUGGAAUUCCUAGUGUAGCGGUGGAAUGCGUAGAUAUUAGGAGGAACACCAGAGGCGAAGGCGAUUUACUGGACUGUAACUGACGCUGAUGCACGAAAGUGUGGGGA